ensembl:misc_RNA Metazoa_SRP Metazoan signal recognition particle RNA
GCCGGGCGCAGUGGUGCACGCCUGUAAUCCCAGCUCCUCGGAAGGCUGAGCCGGGAGGAUCGCUUGAAUCUGGAGUUCUGGGCUGCAGUGCGCUAUGCCGAUCGGGUGUCCGCACUAAGUUCGGCAUCAAUAUGGUGACCUCCCGGGAGCUGGGGAACGCCAGGUUGCUUAAGGAGGGGUGAACCGGCCCAGGUCCGAAACGGAGCAGGUCAAACUCCCGUGCUGAUCAGAUUACAAAAUAGUAUAAAGUCUUUGUCAGAUAUUCAUUUGGCAU